GAUGAACGCUAGCGACAGGCUUAACACAUGCAAGUCGAGGGGCAGCAUAGAAGUAGCAAUACUUUGGUGGCGACCGGCGCACGGGUGAGUAACGCGUAUGCAACCUACCUAUCAGAGGGGAAUAACCCGGCGAAAGUCGGACUAAUACCGCAUAAAACAGGGGCACCGCAUGGUGAUAUUUGUUAAAGAAAUUCGCUGAUAGAUGGGCAUGCGUUCCAUUAGGUAGUUGGUGAGGUAACGGCUCACCAAGCCGACGAUGGAUAGGGGAACUGAGAGGUUGGUCCCCCACACUGGUACUGAGACACGGACCAGACUCCUACGGGAGGCAGCAGUGAGGAAUAUUGGUCAAUGGGCGGGAGCCUGAACCAGCCAAGUCGCGUGAAGGAAGAAGGAUCUAUGGUUCGUAAGCUUCUUUUGCAGGGGAAUAAAGUGCGGGACGUGUCCUGUUUUGUAUGUACCCUGAGAAUAAGGAUCGGCUAACUCCGUGCCAGCAGCAGCCGCGGUAA
rnacentral:rRNA from 1 species